ensembl:lncRNA
CCCUGAAUGACUGGUCAGACCUGAGUAAACACUACAGAAGAAGGGGGGCAAGAUGAAAUGUGUGUGUGUUUGUGUAUGAGAGAGAAACAGAGACCAGCGCAGCUCUAUUCCAGUAUCCUGCAGCUCAUCACAGGAGAGGUACUUCAGACCUGAGUUUGGCCCUACCCAACCGACCUCUGACAAAUCUGGUGGCAGUCACCCUUCCAGUUUGUUCUGUUUCUCUUCACUAGUCAGAGUAUCAGCUAGACAUGAAACUUGAAUCAGGUAGGGCUGGUUUAGAAAACACACCUUUCUUUUCUCUUGUUCCCAUUUUUAUUAUUAUUAUUAUUAUUAUUUAGAUUUUUCCUAUUAAUUUUGACGUCUUUAUUUUUUAUCCAAGCAAUUUUUGUACUCCCAGAAAUCCCAUCAGGAAAUGUCACCCUGUGUCACUGUACAUUUAAAGGGAAGUGUUUUGCAUCAGGCUCUAACAACUCAAAGCGAGACUAAAAGCUGCUCCCAGGUCAGUUGAACCUGUCAUUGUUUUCAAAAGGGGGCAACAUGUUUGGACUUGUACGCCAAACAGAAAAGACGUGGAACUCCAGCGUUUCACUGAUGACUACAUAAACAUGACUCUAGCAGCAGAAUGCUCAUUUUGAGACCAUGACCACAACCAGAAUUUUCAUUUCAUUUUUCUGUGAAUUAACUCUUUAAUGGCUUUGAAUGCAAAUGGAGGCAAACAUUUAUGAUAGACUUAAAAACAAAGUCAAAAUUAAUCUAAUGUGAUUAAUCUAAUUAAGCAUUUCUAAUCAUUCUGUCUCUCGACACUAUGUUAAUUUUUUUAGACACCCCCUUAAACUCUCUCAAUGAGGUUGACACCACAUGUAGUUCUGAUCAUGUGUUGUGCCACAGAGAGAGAGAGUAAUAAGAUGUUUAGAGGCUGUUGGUGGUCCAUAGAGGAUUUGAGUAGAGAGAUGGGGAGAUUUCAUUCUAGUUUCCUGUUUUGUGCCAUAAUUUCCUUUGCUAGACAUUACAAAAUGGUCAUUAAGAUACAUUUUUUUAUUAGUGCGUUAACUGACAUAUAGGCCACAGGUUUUUACUGUGUUAUCUGGUUAGCAGUCAUAAAGAACUAGAAAGCUGAUGAUGAACACAGUAAAAUGACCAUUACUUGAAGAGCCGGUUUAGAUGAACUGUAAAAUUCUACUAAUCGUACUGAAGCUUUUAACUCACAUAGUCUGAAUUGUAAACAUUUUUUGAGUGUGUGAUUGUGUGGAAAACACAUAUGUGCAAAAUGUUUUCAAAAAGGACUAAGGGUCACACCAGAAAUGUGUGAUGUGACCAUCAGAUGUGUUUAUUGUGGAUAACAAACACUAAGGACAGCCCUUCAGUGGGUGACAGAUAUUAUAAUAGCUUAAAUAACAUUCAUUUUUAUUGCACAAAACUUUCCUGGUAUGGAUUAUGCAUUGUAACGGAAAGCUUUGAAGAAAUGUUAAAGGCAAUAAAGAAAAGCAAGAAUCUUUUAAAAAUAUAUAGUUUAGAAUGGGCCAAGUGUAAUCUUUGCAGUCAAAUUGUUUUAAUAUUUGAUAUGGUUUUUAAUAAGGUUUAAGUUAUGGUCAUAUGGUUUGUUUCAUAUGGUUUUUAUUAG